rnacentral:rRNA from 1 species
GACGAACGCUGGCGGCGUGCUUAACACAUGCAAGUCGUACGGUAAGGCCCUUUCGGGGGUACACGAGUGGCGAACGGGUGAGUAACACGUGAGUAACCUGCCCACAACUUUGGGAUAACGCUAGGAAACUGGUGCUAAUACUGGAUAUGUGCUCCUGCUGCAUGGUGGGGGUUGGAAAGCUCCGGCGGUUGUGGAUGGACUCGCGGCCUAUCAGCUUGUUGGUGGGGUAGUGGCCUACCAAGGCGGCGACGGGUAGCCGGCCUGAGAGGGUGACCGGCCACAUUGGGACUGAGAUACGGCCCAGACUCCUACGGGAAGCAGCAGUGGGGAAUAUUGCACAAUGGGCGCAAGCCUGAUGCAGCAACGCCGCGUGCGGGAUAACGGCCUUCGGGUUGUAAACCGCUUUCAGCAGGGACGAAGCUUUUUGUGACGGUACCUGCAGAAGAAGCACCGGCUAACUACGUG